AGACUGCAGCCUUCUCAUCUUUUCUCUUGUCCUAAAUGAUACACAUUUAAGCAAGUUCAUCCAAACGCAACAAAAUCCCAUAUAACAAUUACCACUUAACAAGCAUCAAAAUCAAAACAACAUACCCAUUUCUUAAAAUCAAAACUACCUAUUCUCCCCCUAACCCACCACCAAAGUCUGCAAUUAUGAAGCUUAAAAUCCAAUACCCAUUCGUCUCAUGUUGUAGGGCCAGUGGCAAUAACAACUCCGAAAUGAUACUUUGGAGCCGAUCGGGUGACGUUCGGAGGCGAAGGCUCUGAUGGCGCAGUGGACACUGCAAACGCUGACGAGAAGAAGUAGGAGGAAAAGGAGCAGAGUUGGGGUUGGUCUACGUCGUCCACAGCUGCGAUGGCUGAUUGAAGCCGACGCUUUGCUCGAUAUAUGAGGAUAACGUGGUCGUGGUGGUCCUGGUGGAGGAGGGAAAGGAAAGAGGUGUAGCUGGUGACCACGUCCUUGAGGUCAACGUGGAGGGUGUAGCAUGUAGGCAUCAGGUGCUGGUAGUUGACGAGCACUGCCAAUUCUUGUAAACCAUUGAGGCUUCAUUUGUUUCUGUUCUGUUGGGUAUAUGUUUGUGCAUCAAUUUGUUUCUCUGUUGAAUGUUAAUUAAGAAAUUGAUUGCUGAGUGCCACGAUUAGAGAAUUGAAACUGGGAUUUGAGAUUGUGUUUAGAGUUGAGGAUUGGGAUUAUGAAUUUAUGAAUUUCUGGUUCCAGAUUUUUAGUUUAUUUUUUGAGAAGAAUAUCAAUGGUUACUAAUUGAGAUUAUUAAGGCUAUUUU
rnacentral:misc_RNA from 1 species